CAGAUUGAGUUUGAUCACAGGGUGCCGGUACAACCGAAAGCGUUUUGAUAGAACUUUUUGCAUCACGCUCGAACCAUCAAAUCAAGGCUAUGUGUGAUGCAUAUUUGGCUGAAACCGGAAGAGCUCUAAUUCACGACCUGAAAUCUGAGGUGUCCGGGGACUUUGAAAAGACCUUGCUGAUCCUCGCUGAGGGUAAGAGGGUUGAAACUACGAACGUGGACGUGGCAAAAGCGAAAGAGGAUGCCAAGGUGAAGUGAAAACACUAUUGCU